AUGGGCGCAGCGGGCACAACCACAAACCCUACCCCCCAAUCCAUAGCCGCCACUCCCUCCCUCCUCCUCCUCCCUCGUCUGCCGCCGCCACUCCCUCCCUGCUCGUCGCCCGUCUCCGCCCUAGGAGCUUCGCCGCCUCCCGCGCGCUCGUCCUCUCAUCUCCCAUGGAGGGGAGGGGUGGGGAUGUAGGGGAAGGAGGAAGCCGGCGAGGAAGGCAAGCAACAGCGGGGAAGGAGCUGGGUGAGCGAUCCUAGCGGGUAGGAAGGGGCAGGGUGAUGCCUCGCGCACAUGCCGGCGGCCGGCAGGUCGAAUUGUCGCGCCACCGCGUCGUCGCCUCCUCUGCGCCAUGAGGCGCCACCUCUGCCUCCACCCUCCACCGGGCAAGGAGCUCGAGAUGAACAGGCGGUGGGAAGGUGAGAGGAAGCAGGAGCUAUCUCUCCUUCAAUGGCUGCCUUGUGCAUCUGGAGUAUAAGGAGGACAACACGUGCCUGUUGGAGGCGACUCGAGCAACGCAGGCCAGCGGCGAACUAGAUCUGACAUAGAAGACCACGUUCGUCAGAUUAGAAAGUGAUCUUCUUCCAAUGGCUUUAAUGGAUGUGCACUCUUGUCUCCGUCGUUAUACCUAUUUUGGAAUCCAUGGCAGCAUGCUGUGCUUUGUCGGCACAUUCGUGCAUGUGUGAGUUCGCAGAUGAAGAAGCACCGAAUGAUCAUUAUAUUCUCCUCUGCUCUGAUCUUCUAUUGACAUAUUGUUUUCAGUUGCUGUUUAGUAUGGAUGCCUCCAUGGUUGCAUAGGCAACCAACACAUCGGCGGUUUCAAGGCUGGUCCUGGGCGGCGCCUCGUCAGCGUCGUGGAUGGUUGGGCAGCGCCUUGGCAUUCCAGAGGGGCGAAGUGGGCCGGCCAACAUGCGUGGGGCGCAAAGGUCACGAGCAGGAGGGAGAUGCGCUGGAGGUGAUGGAGGAGGAAGUCGGAGGUGGCAUCAGCGUCCAUGGCGACGCCACCCCGGGAACCCUCCUGCACACCUCGGCAUGGUUCGUCUGUGCCACAUGGUGGCCAAGAUGCUGGUACCUCCUCUCUCUGGCUUCUCUCUUAUUUGCUCCUUUUUCUCGGGGAUGAGGGCGUCGGUGCAUCAUCAGGAGUGGAUCAAGAGCGGACCGUAGCAGCAGGAGCAAGGAUCUGGUGGUGGUUCAUGAUAUUGGACUGCAUUACUAAAUGUUCUAGGGUUGGAGAGAACUUAGAGAGGGUGGAGAGGAGAAAUGGCUGCGUCGGACGGUGCUCGUCAUGAUGUUCCUGGAGAGGAGGGCUAGAGCAGUCACCGUAGAGCAGGGAGGCGGCUGGAGUUGUCCGUUAUUGAGGAAAGAAUGGCAGCUCGGGGAGACUUGAGGCAGCGGUGGCGGGGAGUGUGUGUGUGUUCAGAACAGAUGUGUUUUCAGAACUUAUUACUUUUGAUACACUGCCCCUUUAUGUUGAGCAGAUGCGGAUCAUAUUUAGGGAGAUUAAGAUGCUCAAGACCAAGGAAUGCAGACUGAAGGCUGCCAAUGAUACCCUUCAAGAAAGGCCCUAACAGAUAAAUGGAAGCAUCUAUUGGGUGGUACUCUCACUACUUAGCAAAGAGAAUGAAGGGUCAACAUUUACGGUCAUGCUGCCCAUGCUUUGGAAAAAAGGCAAAAAUGUUUUACGGCUCAAGCAUGGGAAGUAUAGACCAAAGAAUGUGGUUUACAGUUUCCCUAUUUUGUUGGAUCAACUAAUGUGUUGCUUUGUUGCUUCAUGUGAGUGAUGUAUGUAAUCAAGAACCAGGAAAGCAUACCAGUAUAUUGCAAUUCCAAAACUUAGAAAAAUGCCCAAACCUACAUAUUUGUAAUUAACAUUUAGCGCUACAUGUUGCCAUUGGGUCAUUCUGUCAUGUGAUGUUCUUAUACAAAUAUGUUGUUUUCUCAA